UGUAACGAAUUUAGUGUUAGAUUCUAAAAGGAUAAGCGUGGAGUUUUGUUUAAUUAAGAGGAAAAUUAAGCACGAUAUUUCAAUCUUUCGUAACAGUUUCCGAGUUUUAAACUUAUUUCUGUGGUGCAUGAUAAUUUAAAAGGAAAAAGUUGUGAGAAACUUUUCUUGGUGUCUAAAGUUAAUAUACCGAAAGAUACAGAAUUGGUUUUGGACUAUGGAUAGACCUUGAGAGAUAGGAUUCUAGGAAACCCUUGAAUGACCGGAUAACUCUGUCGCUUCUAAAUUAAAUGUAAAAUGUCAAUUAUCAAUUGAGGCUAUAAAUUGUACAUGUACAGUGACAAAUGAUAACAGUGUGAAUGUGAAAAAUUGUGAGCUCUGCACAUCGUCCUCAAGCAAUUUUCGUGCUAAUGGCAGAAUAAAGUAAUUAAAAUAGCUGCCAAGGGGGAAAUCAUCAGAAAUUUAUGUAAAGAGGAACCUCCUAAAAGAAAAGACAAUUCUGAAACAAAAUCAACUAAUGUACAAAAGAUUGAUGAAACUCAUCAACAAAGGACAAACAACACAAAAACCUCUUAUGUUGUCCCGAAAAUACGUCAGAUCAAGCACAGAAAUUUACUAAAGGCGAAUUUUCAAAAUUAAUGCUGGAUAGAAGCAAUAUGCAUCUCGAUAUUUUGAAAUAUAUUCAAAAUUGUUCAACUACAUUAAAUUAAUGCCAAAAGUAGGAGACCCCGCGAAUAGUUGUGAGGACUAUGCUGAUAAAACUAGGAAUUUUACUUAGGAGCAAAGAUCAUCAAUCCUAAAAUAUUUAUGUGACAAUGUUCAUCCAAUCACCUUGCAACACCUUGAUGUACAUGUACCAAGUCUAAUUCAUGUCACUAUUACAUGCACUUUGAUACACAGACCAUCCAACUUUGAUUCAGGCUUUUUACAUCAUAUGGCUGAUCUAGAUGCUGUUUAAAGAGCACAGUCUGUACUGUUUGUGAUUGAAGAAGAAGUGGAAACAAAGCCAGAAAAUCUGUUGAGUCAUACAGAUAUUCUGUUUAAUAUGUCCCGAAACACAAACUUCAGCGAAGACCUACUUUAGAAAAGAUGCAUGGCAGCUUGUUUUAAAUACUCUCAAAGUAUUAGAAGAUAUGUAUAUUAGUAACACUCAGAAGUAUUAUGAUAAGAUUUCUCCAUGCCAGACAAGAAAAGGCAAAGCUUUAAUAGGUCCAGUUGAAGGAAGAAUAUUCAAAAAGUUUUCAAAAAGGACAUCAGACCAGAUUAAAUCAAAAAAAAGAAGUGUAUAUUCCUUUACAAGUGAGGAAUUUUCUCCAUUAAAAGCUAGG